rnacentral:rRNA from 1 species
CGGGGGGUGCCCUGGUUGUAAUUUGGGUAGGACGCCUCUGGCGCGGCGCCUUCCGAGUUCCCUGGAACGGGACGCCAUAGAGGGUGAGAGCCCCGUAUGGUCGGCAGCCAAGCCUCUGUGAGGCUCCUUCGACGAGUCGAGUAGUUUGGGAAUGCUGCUCAAAAUGGGAGGUAUAUGUCUUCUAAAGCUAAAUACCGGCCAGAGACCGAUAGCGUACAAGUAGAGUGAUCGAAAGAUGAAAAGCACUUUGAAAAGAGGGUUAAACAGUACGUGAAAUUGUUGAAAGGGAAGCGCUCGCGACCAGACUCGGGCCCGGCGGAUCAUCCGGCGUUCUUCGCCGGUGCACUCCGCCGGCGCCCGGGCCAGCAUCGGCUCGGCCGCGGGGGAUAAAGGCGGCGGGAACGUGGCCCCUCCGGGGGUGUUAUAGCCCGCCGCGCAAUGCCCCGCGCCGGGCCGAGGACCGCGCCCCAGGGCAAGGAUGCUGGCGUAAUGGUCGCUAGCGACCCGUCUUGAAACACGGACCAAGGAGUCGUCUUCGUAUGCGAGUGUUCGGGUGUCAAACCCCUACGCGCAAUGAAAGUGAACGCGGGUGAGAGCCCUCGCGGGCGCAUCACCGACCGAUCCUGAUGUUCUCGGAUGGAUUUGAGUAAGAGCAUACGGGGCCGGACCCGAAAGAAGGUGAACUAUGCCUGUGUAGGGUGAAGCCAGAGGAAACUCUGGUGGAGGCUCGCAGCGGUUCUGACGUGCAAAUCGAUCGUCAAACAUGGGCAUGGGGGCGAAAGACUAAUCGAACCUUCUAGUAGCUGGUUCCCGCCGAAGUUUCCCUCAGGAUAGCAGUGCCGAUCUCAGUUUUAUGAGGUAAAGCGAAUGAUUAUGAGGGACCGGGGGGCGCUCACUAGCCUUCAUCCAUUCUGCAAACUUUAAAUAUGUAAGAAGCCCAUGUCACUUGACUGA